UACGUAGGGGGCGAGCGUUGUCCGGAAUUACUGGGCGUAAAGCGCAUGUAGGCGGCCUGUUAAGUCAGGUGUGAAAACUCACGGCUCAACCGUGGGACGGCACAUGAAACUGGCAGGCUUGAGGGCAGGAGAGGAGAGCGGAAUUCCUAGUGUAGCGGUGAAAUGCGUAGAUAUUAGGAGGAACACCAGUGGCGAAGGCGGCUCUCUGGACUGAACCUGACGCUGAGGUGCGAAAGCUAGGGGAGCAAAC
rnacentral:rRNA from 1 species